GACGAACGCUGGCGGCGUGCUUAACACAUGCAAGUCACGGGGGCCCGCGAGGGGUAACCGGCGAACGGGUGCGUAACACGUGAGCGACCUGCCUUUCCGCGGGGGAGUAGCCGGCCCAACGGCCGGGUAAUACCGCAUACGCUGCUCGAGGGGCGAUCCCUUGGGUAGGGAAACCUCCGGGGCGGAGAGAGGGGCUCGCGACCUAUCAGCUAGUUGGUGAGGUAACGGCUCACCAAGGCGUCGACGGGUAGCUGGUCUGAGAGGAUGGCCAGCCACAUUGGGACUGAGAUACGGCCCAGACUCCUACGGGAGGCAGCAGUGGGGAAUAUUGGACAAUGGGGGAAACCCUGAUCCAGCGAUGCCGCGUGAGCGAAGAAGGCCUUAGGGUUGUAAAGCUCUUUCGCCCGCGACGAUAAUGACGGUAGCGGGAGAAGAAGCCCCGGCUAACUCCGUGCCAGCAGCCGCCGCCGU
rnacentral:rRNA from 1 species